UUUCGCAAAGCUGAAGAUCAAUCACCUGAGAAAGAAGUUUACACAAAGAUGCUUUGAAAAACAAGGAGGAAGCUUAUCUAUGAAACAGUGAAGCACUAUCACAAGGAAUAUACGCAGGUGUACAGAACUGAAAUUCAAAUGGCUAGGAUGGCAAGACAAACUGGCAAAUUUUAUGUACCUGCAGAACCCAAAUUGGCAUUUGUCAUCAGGAUCAGAUGUAUUAAUGGUAUGAGGCCAAAGGUCUGAAAGGUGUUGCAGCUUCUUUGCCUUCGACACAUCUUCAACGGAACCUUUGUGAAGCUCAACAAGGCUUCAAUUAACAUGCUGAGGAUUGUAGAACCACAUAUUGCAUGGGAGUACCCAAAUCUGAAGUCAGUAAAUGAACUAAUCUACAAGCGUGCUUAUGGCAAAAUCAAUGAGAAGCAAAUUGCUUUGACAGAUAACACUUUGACUACUUGAUCUCUUGGUAAAUAAGGCAUCAUUUGCAUGGGGGAUCUGAUUCAUGAGAUCUAUACUGUUGAAAAAUGCUUCAAAGAAGCAAAUAACUUUCUGUGGCCUUUCAAAUUAUCCUCUCCAUGAGGUGGAAUGAAGAAAAAGACCACCUAUUUUGUAGAAGGUGAAGAUGCUGGCAACAGGAGGACUAGAUCAACAGUUUUAUUAGGAGAAUGAACUAA
rnacentral:lncRNA from 1 species